rnacentral:rRNA from 1 species
AACGAACGCUGGCGGCAUGCCUAACACAUGCAAGUCGAACGAGACCUUCGGGUCUAGUGGCGCACGGGUGCGUAACGCGUGGGAACCUGCCCUUAGGUUCGGAAUAACUCCCCGAAGGGGGUGCUAAUACCGGAUAAUGUCUUCGGACCAAAGAUUUAUCGCCUUUGGAUGGGCCCGCGUUGGAUUAGCUAGUUGGUAGGGUAAAAGCCUACCAAGGCGAAGAUCCAUAGCUGGUCUGAGAGGAUGAUCAGCCACACUGGGACUGAGACACGGCCCAGACUCCUACGGGAGGCAGCAGUGGGGAAUAUUGGACAAUGGGCGAAAGCCUGAUCCAGCAAUGCCGCGUGAGUGAUGAAGGCCUUAGGGUUGUAAAGCUCUUUUACCCGGGAUGAUAAUGACAGUACCGGGAGAAUAAGCUCCGGCUAACUCCGUG